UACGAGGGGGGCAAAUGUCGUUCGGAUUCACUGGGCGUAAAGGGUGCGCAGGUGGUUUGGCAAGUUUGACGUGAAAGCCCCGGGCUUAACCCGGGAAUGGCAUUGAAAACUGCUUGAACUGGAGGAUUGGAGGGGGGACUGGAAUUCUUGGUGUAGCAGUGAAAUGCGUAGAUAUCAAGAGGAACACCAGUGGCGAAGGCGAGUCCCUGGACAAUACCUGACACUGAGGCACGAAAGCCAAGGGAGCAAACAGG
rnacentral:rRNA from 1 species